UAGACUUCAAAUCAGGUGGGACUACCCGCUGAACUUAAGCAUAUCAAUAAGCGGAGGAAAAGAAAAUAACUAUGAUUCCCUUAGUAACGGCGAGUGAACAGGGARAAGCCCAAAUUUGUAAUCUGGCAYYUUUUACARRUGUCCGAGUUGUAAUUUGUAGARCUGUUAUCCGURCUGGACCAUGUACAAGUCUGUUGAAAAGCAGCAUCRUUGAAGGUGAAAAUCCUGUWRAUGAUAUGGACUACCAGURYAUUUGYGAUACGGUUUCUAAGAGUCGAGUUGUUUGGGAAUGCAGCUCAAAGUGGGUGGUAAAUUCCAUCUAAGGCUAAAUAUAAGUGAGAGACCGAUAGCAAACAAGUACCGUGAGGGAAAGAUGAAAAGAACUUUGAAAAUAGAGUUAACAGUACGUGAAAUUGCUGAAAGGGAAACGUUUGAAGUUAGUWUUGUAUUCGUUGGAUCAGCUUCGCAAGGAGUGUAUUCUGAUGAUAAGCAAGUCAACAUCARUCUAUGAGUGUYGGAUAAGGGUUUYGAGRAYGUAGCAAUUUAAUUGUGUUAUARCUUGARRCUUGGAUACGAUGCUUUGGAUUGAGGAACGCGUAGUAAGCUUUGWGCGGAUUGGAAASGAUCUCCUUACUAUGGAUGUUGGUGAAAUAACUUUAAGCGACCCGUCUUGAAACACGGACCAAGGAGUCUAACAUGCUUGCGAGUAUUAGGGUGUUGAAACCCGAAUGCGUAAUGAAAGUGAAUYUWRGAUGUGAUCCGCAAGGUGCAACAUCGWCCGGUCYKGAUYAUUUAURUGAMGGUACUGAGYAAGAGCAAGUAUGUUAGGACCCGAAAGAUGGUGAACUAUGCCUGGAUAGGGUGAAGUCAGAGGAAACUCUGAUGGAAGCUCGUAGCGGUUCUGACGUGCAAAUCGAUCGUAGAAUCUGGGUAUAGGGGCGAAAGACUAAUCGAACCAUCUAGUAGCUGGUUCCUGCCGAAGUUUCCCUCAGGAUAGCAAAGACUUUUAAAUUAGUUUUAUGAGGUAAAGCGAAUGAUUAGAGGGCUUGGGAAUGUAAUGUUCUUAACCUAUUCUCAAACUU
rnacentral:rRNA from 1 species